rnacentral:lncRNA from 1 species
UAGAAACUAGACGACCCAGACAAUAUUGUUGUUACACAAGCAGAAACUUGUCUUGCAGAUGGAAACCAAAUGCUUAUCACAACAGGAGUAGGCAUACAAGUUAAACCCAUUUGUUCCACUUCUUUUGUUCGACUGAAAGACAAGAACAACCACAUCAUAAAUGAUUGGUACUAAUAAGGCUGGUUUUGAACUCUACAAGAGAUUCCUGCUACAUACCCAUCAAGAACAUCUUGUCGUUGCAUCAUGGUGAGGAAACCAUGGGUGCGCAUCAUCAAAGAGCGGUGCCCUUGAUAUUCACCUUCAGCCUUUCGGAGGACACUUGUUGAUUCAUCUGCAUAAAAAGAAAAUAAAAUUAGCUAGCAGCUUGGCCUUGAUAGGUCUAGAAAUGUGUUCGUACCACAGAAAAAGAGUAUGUAGUUCUUAUUCAUAUGGAAAACUUGAAGCACAUGAGGCUCCACAGCGGAUUUCAUCCCAGCCUGUCUCCUAGAGCAUUUAGCAGGUUCGUUUUCAUUGCAAACAUAAAUUAUAGAAUGAAAUAACAAAUAUAGCAGGCGAUUCUUUAAUUAGUGCAAUGCGAUUUCAUUUGGUCAUAUGAAAGAGGUAUAUCACCACAAUGAUUUCUAAUUUCGUGACCACAUUUCAUAGUUCAAGGGAAUCUUUUUCCCUGUUCUCUCCAUAUCAGUGGUGAACAUCACCAUGCCUGUCACCCAUUGGGACAUAACCCUCCAUCACUGCACACAUCCCCAAUGAGUACCACAUUGUCUGCAUAUAGAAAGGAGGUGAGAUCAUGAUUGAUAAACUAUGCGUGAGAAAUCUAUGUUUGCCUUCCAGUUUAUAGAAGAAUAAGAAAGAGAACUUAGACAGACUUUUAUGCAAUGCUCAUUUAACCUGUGAAGGACAAAAAUAUUCCACCAUCUCUGAAUGACGAACUAAACUAAAUAAGAGAUAUAUACAGUAAAUUCAUUUAAAGUAGAAAAGGGAUCUUCACAUAAGCUUCUUGAUGAGGACAUUUCUUGACUGGAAGGUCACACUUGAACCCAUUACACUUAUAAAACCCAGCCCUAUUGUCAUUUAAAUUGCAAAUUAAUCAUCAAUAAUGCAAAAUAAUUUAUUACCAACAAAUGGUU